rnacentral:rRNA from 1 species
UACAGAGGGUGCGAGCGUUAAUCGGAGUUACUGGGCGUAAAGGGCGCGUAGGCGGUCAUACAAGUGAGAUGUGAAAUCCCUGGGCUUAACCCGGGAACUGCGUUUCAAACUGUAUGGCUUGAGUACUGUAGAGGGUAGUGGAAUUUCCGGUGUAGCGGUGAAAUGCGUAGAGAUCGGAAGGAACACCAGUGGCGAAGGCGGCUACCUGGACAGAUACUGACGCUGAGGCGCGAAAGCGUGGGGAGCAAACAGG